UCAGGACGAACGCUGGCGGCGUGCUUAACACAUGCAAGUCGAACGGAAAGGCCCUGCUUUGUGGGGUGCUCGAGUGGCGAACGGGUGAGUAACACGUGAGUAACCUGCCCUUGACUUUGGGAUAACUUCAGGAAACUGGGGCUAAUACCGGAUAGGAGCUCCUGCUGCAUGGUGGGGGUUGGAAAGUUUCGGCGGUUGGGGAUGGACUCGCGGCUUAUCAGCUUGUUGGUGGGGUAGUGGCUUACCAAGGCUUUGACGGGUAGCCGGCCUGAGAGGGUGACCGGCCACAUUGGGACUGAGAUACGGCCCAGACUCCUACGGGAGGCAGCAGUGGGGAAUAUUGCACAAUGGGCGGAAGCCUGAUGCCAGCAACGCCGCGUGCGGGAUGACGGCCUUCGGGUUGUAAACCGCUUUCGCCUGUGACGAAGCGUGAGUGACGGUAAUGGGUAAAGAAGCACCGGCUAACUACGUGCCAGCCGCCGC
rnacentral:rRNA from 1 species